rnacentral:rRNA from 1 species
CAGUCGCCGCGGUAAUACAGAGGGUGCGAGCGUUAAUCGGAUUUACUGGGCGUAAAGCGUGCGUAGGCGGCUUCUUAAGUCAGAUGUGAAAUCCCUGAGCUUAACUUAGGAAUUGCAUUCGAUACUGGGAAGCUAGAGUAUGGGAGAGGAUGGUAGAAUUCCAGGUGUAGCGGUGAAAUGCAUAGAGAUCUGGAGGAAUACCGAUGGCGAAGGCAGCCAUCUGGCCUAAUACUGACGCUGAGGUACGAAAGCAUGGGGAGCAAACAGGAUUAGAGACCCCGGUAGUCCCUGUCUCUUAUAC